GGCAGCUCCGCCCCCGGGAGGUGCCGUGAGGGAAGUCACGGGAUCAGAGAAUCCGUUAGGUUGGGAAAGUCGUCUGAGAUCGUGGAGUCCUACCUGUGGCCGAACGCUACGAUGUCAGCUAGACCAUGACCCUAAGUGCCACGUCCAGUCUUUCCUUAAACACCCCCAGAGACGGCGACUCCACCACUUCCCUGGGCAGCCCAUUCCAAUGCCUAAUCACCUUUUCUGUAAGAAGUUCGUCCUAAUGUCCAACCUAAACAUCCCCUGGCAUAGCUUAAGAUCGUUUCCUCUCGUUCUGUCACUCGUUGCCUGGGAGAAGAGACCGACCUCCACCCCGCUACACCCUCCCUUCAGUAGUAAUAUUCCAUUCCCAACAAAUGGCUGUACCAGGAUUAUUUUCUGCAGCUGAAGUGGCAGCCUGGAGUGAGGUCAUGCUGAAGAUACUGGAAUGUGGAUGUUUCUUUUUCUCUGUCCACACUUCGUAGAGAAUAGUGGGGGGUGCCUCUUCUUUUGGAAAUAACCCCUAGUGACAAAUUCACAGGUGCAACCUAAAGAAAGAAAGACUAGCAGAACCAGCAGAGUCAGUGCCCGUGCUGGACUCUUCAACCUCCAUGCAGAAAUACAUAUGGUGUAUUCAAGGGUGAAUAUACUGCCUUGUGGCAGCUCUGCAAACUCUUCCCUUUUUGAAAAGAUACCUUUUAGGAUAUCUGCCUCCACCCAGCUGAAUUUUUAAUACAGUUAUUAUUGGUUAAGCUAUCAGUAAAGUUUUGACUAGAUCUCGGUAAACAACUCAGUCUUUUAUUCACGUUUCAGCAAUGACAUCAGAAUGAAUCAAUAAAGAUAAUUUAAAAAUCUGGGCAUUGCUGUCACUUUUUUCUUUCUCGUGCUGUAGAGAGACGAUUAUGCUGAGGUAGGGUUUUUGUUUUGCUUUCUUUCAUUUAGUUUACAGGAUUUUAUUGUCAGCCCUUUUAAACUAGCCAUGCUUUCAUUUUGAUACAGAAAAAGACAAGUAAGCCAGCUUGACAGGCACAAGCUCAAACACAAAGCAAUUGGGAAUAACCAAGGAAAGUUUGAGACUUAAUUUAGAGCUGUCAAUACUUUCCUAGUAUAUAGCUUACCUUGUAUCGGGGCAUAAGUAUUCUGUGGGCACAAGAGACAGCUGUGCUGUGUGAUGCCUUUGGAGCUGGAGGAGCAGCAAGGCUGCAGAGGACAGUGCUGGCUCUGAGAGCCAUCCAAGCGAACUCUGUGCUGGCUGCGGUGGCUGAUGGAUGUGAGGUGGUGUCUCUGCACAGCAGUGCACAGGGCAGCUCACCUGGAGGUCUCUGCAACAGGCUCCUUUCUUUGGACAGGAGAUAGCUUCAGUUUCCUACAGAGAAAUGGUUAUGAUCUGUUCCUAGUUUAUUGCACAAAAUUGAAAACAAGCAGGAAGUCAGUCCUACUUUAAUAAAACUGGCCAUCUUUACAAGCCAGUAAAAAAACCAGAACCGCCUGAGAUUGACGGGAGUGAAGUAAGUGAAAUUAGCCUUUGUUGAUGCUUUGAAUUUCCUAAAAAAUCCAUCCAAUAUCUCACUCAGAGCACAUGUGGAGGCAGUCUUGCUGUACUGUAACACGCACUGAGAUAACCCCAUCCCAGUUUAUAAUGUAUAACCUAUUCAUGUGUACAUGGUGGAGUUUCAUUCACACACACACGUAUAUGUAUAAAAAAACCCCACCUUCCAACUCGAGCAGAAACUAAUUAAAAAUAGAGAUUUUUUUCUUAAUUACAUUGCAAAUAACUAUUUUUUUAAAAAAUAGUCUGCAAGUUUUCAUUUCAAAUUCUCCUAGAGACAAGGAUAUUGGAUGAAGAAUUCAUGCUACACUGUCUUUUUCUACAGCUUCCUCACUCUAACAGUCUCUGAUUUGUUAUGUGAGUAAGGUAAAAGCUGAGUCAGCCAAACAAACUUUGAAAAGCAGCACUAAGGUGUGCUUAGUGGAACUGUUGCUUAAACCUUGUUUUCAGUGAUCAAGGCAGCCCAAAGAAACUAAAUCUUUUGAUAAAAACUAAACUCAAAGCUAAGAGGAAAAUGUCAUACCCUAAAAAUAAUUUUAUAAAAGGUUCUCCUUGUGUCUCUAGCUAAGGUUGCAAUAAAGUCCACACAAAAGAAGAUAAAUGGUUGUUCAGUUUUGCCUUUUAAAAGAUUUAAUUAACCCUGUUCUCUCUGCUUUUUUAAACUUUGACUGGAUGCUGUCACUCAAGAAAAAUACCUCUAGAAAGGUAUACUAAUGGCUUUGUGAGUAGAGACAUUCACUGCAGAGGUUCAGCCAGUGCUUGCCACAAGGCUUGGAAAUGUAGUGCCAAAGGUUGUUUUGGCUGGGCCUGGCCAUCUCAAGGUCAUGCUCUUCCCAUAGGGUUUGUCAUUCUUUGUCAUUCUGGCUGCACAGCUGCCAACUAGGGAACACCUGGACAUGUCAGGUGUACCUCACCUUCUCUUUGUGGUGCAGAAUACUCAGCCCUUAAUGCUGUCUAGGUGGAAAGGAGAAAUGAGCUGCUUGGUUCAGUGAAGACAGUGAAGGAACGUGUCACUUCAGCUUUGCUGUAGCUUAUGCAGAAAUUUCGCAGUUAAUCAUAGUGGGUUGCCAGAUACAAGGCAAAAAGCAGGUCUUAAAAGUUUGAACAUGACUUCAAAUAGAACACACUGAACUUUUUCUUAAGGGCAAUAAAAAUGAAAAUGCUUAAGAGUGAACAAAAAAUGCAUGAUAGUACUUAUAUAGUCACCUACAAAGCUUGUGUGAUGAUGAUGACAAAGUAGUGUAGUUUUCUAAGAUUUUCUUUGCUAGAAGGAUAGAUCCCAGUGCAGCAAAUACUCCAUAGAUUAACAAUAUAUCAGAUCUUUUUUUCAACUGAGAAAAUGAAAACUUUUGAAAUGUGCACGUUUUUUAUUUUGGACUCAAUAAUGGAAAUAUUAAAACGUUCUCUGUAAUUGCUUUUAGCUACACAGUUUAAAGCAGAAUCGUCCACCAUAUGAAUGUGUAUUUUCAAGACAUUAGUAAUACCUCAUUACUACUGUCUCCAGAUCUAAGAGAUAUACUCCAGCUUUGAACUUUGAUAAUAAAUCAUCAUGAUAGUGUAUCAUUUGUAACAGAUAAUGCUGAAGUAAAGUGUAUACGAAUUAAUGGAAAACUGAAAAGUUAUUUGUUUUCAACUAAUUGUUUACUUCAUGUACUACAUAAUACAUGAACUAACAGUCUAAUACAUGUAAUAGCUACAUUAUUAUUUGUUCUCAAGGUUGUGUAAUUUAAGGUUUUGUAUCCUGCACUGCAUCUGUCAAAGAGCUUAAAAAUUACAAGGGAGAUUUAAUGUCAGCCUUGAAGAUGAGAAAAUAAUGAAGCAUGGCCCCACAAGGUGGUUAAUUCUAUAUUGUGCAGUUGAAAGGAACUUAAACUGUUCUUUAUCUCAUAUAAAUUGCUGUUAGGUAUGAACUACACAACUGCAAUUUUAUAUUCUUCCAGGAAAAUGAAAAUAAGGAAAGCACAGAGAUAUUUCCCUUGACAGUGUACUACUUAUAUGUAUUUCAAAAUGUCCUAAAAUAUUUCUAUAGAUACGCUUAUAAAAUUAAAAUAGCUUGAUUUUAUGUGUGCUGAAGCUUAAGACAUAAUUUGUUAAUUGAAUAGUGAAUUACCACAAAAAGCUUGUGACAAUUUUUGGCCAUAGGCAUUCAUACAUAAAGCACGCUUCAUGGAAAAACAGGAGAAAAAUGGAAAAUGAUGGUGAAAAAAAUGCUGGUAUUUUAGUAAAUUAUAACCAUAUAUAUAUAUGGUUGGAAAACUAGUGGGUUCUGAGAUAUUCAGUUGAAUGUUUGGUCUUCUUUUGGGAGUCAGAAAGUCCCUUCUUAUCUCUAGUAUGGCAGCAGGAGGAUACAUUCCUAGUGCAAACAUGCUUGGACAGUUUGCAGAAAUCUAAAGACUCAUGCUUAAACUGAGCUUCAAUCAAAUUAAUUUUGGUUGUAUAUGUAAGGAGUUCUAAGAAUUGAUUAGAAAACCAAGAGAGUGAACUAUAUCACAAGUGUUAAGUAUAAUUUAAAUAAUAAAUCACCAUUUGUGUUAAUGUAACCUUAUAUUUCAUAAUACCAGAAAUGCAUUCUUAAAAGGAAGGUGAAUGAUAGGCUAAAAAUAACCAUAAUUUUAUAAUAUGUUUGUUAAAAUAAAGAAUUUUUCCUUGUCUAUUAAAAUACUGGUGUAUUUUUUUUUUACCAUGUCAGUUCACAAGUUCUUGAUUUUCUUUUUUUUAAAAAUUCAAUAACUUUUAUUGGAGUAACACCAAGUGAAAGUAGAGAGGACACUUGCCUGAAUAAUUAAGUUGUAGUAAAUUACACUUGUUUCACUGGUUCUAAUUUCUGCUAGAGAAAAUGCAGAGAGAGAACUAAACAGGAUUUUCUCUUCAGUCAACCUUGUGCUCUCUGAUUGGGAGCUUGAUACGUUAACUCAGGUUUUGAAUUAAACUAAAUGCCUGUUUCAUCAUCACUCUUAGUUUAUUGGGGGCGGUGUAUUUUAUUUUUAAAUUGCAGCUAUAUGACCACUUACUAAUGUUUGUCUUUGUGGAUGGAAGGCAACUUCAAUGAGAAGGUGCAAUGAAGUACUGGUGAGCUUGGCUGUUAAGGAGCAAGAAGUUUUGAUGGGGAAGAGAGGUUUGAAAAAUCUUGGUUGCAUGUAGAGGUCUUGAGGCAUUGGAGAGCUCCAGGAGGCAGCUUGCUCCUUGGCAAGCCAUGUACUGUGCAAGGCUAGUAAACUUCUAAAGGGAUCCCACCAGUUGCCUUUCUGCCAAGGAGUCACCCGAUACUCCUUUUUGCUUCUGAUCCAUACCAUCACAUUUCUGAGAAGGUUCAUUAGGAAGCAUCCCUUGGGCUUUGCCUUUCUAGGCUGAUAGGCACAAGGCUGCAGUCCCAGAUGGCCAGGGAAUGCAGCAGGAGAGCUGUCUCCAGUGGGGGCUCCUCUUGGUUCCUUCAAGGUCCCUGUCUAGGCCUGAGGGUGUUAUACCUGCUGAGCAUUGGCUUUGUGCGUGCAUUUCUUUUCAGAGGAGAGGAAUAUGUGUCAAUAUUAUCCUCACUAGUUAUAAGUUGUCUGGGCUGGCACAAAUUGAAGGCAAGACCUCAUGAGCAGCCACUAAGCUUUGCAUCAGCUGAGUGAAGUACAGGACAGGCAUGCUGGGUAGCAUAAGGAGGCUGAUGGUCGAAAUUACAGCUGAAAGCAGUCAGAGAAUUCUCCUGGGAAUUCUUUUUGAAGGUGAAGGAUAACUUUGAAACUGAAAGUUGAGAUUUUGCUUUUCAUUGACUUUGUGAUGCACGAAGUGACCACUAGUGUUGGUCACAGUUUUGCAGCAGUAGGAAGGUAUGACCCGAACUUGGCUCCCUGAGAGACUGGGCAUCCUACUGGAGGCAUGCAGGUCCUGUGAGAUGCAGUCUCUGUAGCAGAUUUUUCAGUUUGCAGGAAGCCCCCUGGCUUUAAUGAGGUGCAGGUAGAGCAGCAAGGCUGGUUGCUACUAGUGACAGAAUCAGGCCUCUAUGUGGUUAACAUGCUCUGCGCAGCUUUACUAAUCAGUUGGCAGAAAUUUUGUCUUCUUCUGAAAAAUCAAAGUGAUCAUUAGCUUACACUGAGCUGACACCAGAAAUGAGUCAGAAAGGAUCUUGAUCUGAAAGCUUCCCUGUAGGGCAUGUACGUGUGUCUUCAAACUUUUCUCUUCUUUCCCUGGGAGGGCUUGCCCUCAUCCAGUUCAUAACUCUUUGCCUUCCUACCUGAUAUUUGUUAACUUUUGAAAGUUGCUGUUGCCAAGAGGCAGAAUUAUCUGAUUCAUGGGAACCUCUGCAUGUUCUCCAAAAAAUGCAUUUUAUUUCUCAAUAAGAAAGAUUUUUGUGAAAUCUCAGUAAAGUGAUCAUCAUUUCCUGCUCAGACCAUGGGGAAAGAGGCAAUUUAAGCACUUAACUGAUGUAUAAUCAUGAUUUGUCAUACCUUCUGGAGUCUUUUGUUGAAGUGGAUAAAUGGAGCAAUACUGAAUAAACAAAAAUUUGAAGAUAGGGCUUUCCAAACUGUAUUCAUCUAUUUAUGUUCCCACUUCAUAGACUUUAACUGAUAUGCUAGGGCAAUAUUUACAAUAUUCAUUACCUGUAAUCCAGUAGGAAACAUUUAACGAUCUGCUGAGCCACUUGGAUCCCCACAAGUCUAUGGGAACAGAUGGGAUCCACCCAAGGGUGAUGAGGGAGCUGGCAGAAGAACUCGCCAAGCUGCUCUCUGUCAUCUACCAACAGUCCUGGCUCACUGGGGAGGUCCCAAAUGAUUGGAAGUUGGCGAAUGUCAUGCCCAUCCACAAAAAGGGCUGGAAGGAGGACCUGGGAAACUACAGCCCUGUCAGACUGACCUCAGUGUCUGGGAAGGUUAUGGAGCAGUUCAUCCUAAGUGCAAUCACACAGCACCUACGGGAUGGACAAGAGAUCAGACCCAGCCAAUAUGGGUUUAGG